AACGAACGCUGGCGGCAUGCCUAACACAUGCAAGUCGAACGAGACCUUCGGGUCUAGUGGCGCACGGGUGCGUAACGCGUGGGAACCUGCCCUUAGGUUCGGAACAACUCCCCGAAAGGGGUGCUAAUAUCGGAUAAUUUCUUCGGACCAAAGAUUUAUCGGCUUUGGAUGGGGCCGCGUUGGAUUAGUUAGUUGGUAGGGUACAAGCCUGCCAAGGCGUCGAUCCAUAGCUGGUCGGAGAGGAUGCUCAGCGACACUGGGACUGAGACACGGCCCAGACGCCUACGGGAGGCAGCAGUGGGGAAUAUUGGAGAAUGGGCGAGAGCCUGAUCCAGCGAGGCCGCGUGGGUGGUGAAGGCCUUAGGAUUGUAAAGCUCUUUUACCCGGGAUGAUAAUGACAGUACCGGGAGAAUAAGCACCGGCUAACUCCGUG
rnacentral:rRNA from 1 species